GAUGAACGCUGGCGGCGUGCCUAAUACAUGCAAGUCGAGCGAACAGACGAGGAGCUUGCUCCUCUGACGUUAGCGGCGGACGGGUGAGUAACACGUGGAUAACCUACCUAUAAGACUGGGAUAACUUCGGGAAACCGGAGCUAAUACCGGAUAAUAUAUUGAACCGCAUGGUUCAAUAGUGAAAGACGGUUUUGCUGUAACUUAUAGAUGGAUCCGCGCCGCAUUAGCUAGUUGGGAAGGUAACGGCUUACCAAGGCAACGAUGCGUAGCCGACCUGCGAGGGUGAUCGGCCACACUGGAACUGCGCCACGGUCCAGACUCCUGCGGGAGGCAGCAGUAGGGAAUCUUCCGCAAUGGUCGAAAGCUUUACGGAGCAACGCCGCGUGAGUGAUGAAGGUCUUCGGAUCGUAAAACUCUGUUAUUAGGUAAGAACAAAUGUGUAAGUAACUAUGCACGUCUUGACGGUACCUAAUCAGAAAGCCACGGCUAACUACGUG
rnacentral:rRNA from 1 species